rnacentral:rRNA from 1 species
GCAAAUUACCCAAUCCUGACACAGGGAGGUAGUGACAAGAAAUAAAUAUGAGGCUCUUUUGUCUUGUAAUUGGAAUGAGCACAAUUAAAAAGCUGUUCGAGUAUCGAUUGGAGGGCAAGUCUGGUGCCAGCAGCCGCGGUAAUUCCAGCUCCAAUAGCGUAUAUUAAAGUUGUUGCGGUUAAAAAGCUCGUAGUUGGAUUUCUGUCGAGGAUGACCGGUCCGCACUUUGUGCGUGCAUCUGGUUCAGCCUUGGCAUCCUCCUGGGGAACGUAUCUGCGCUUAAUUGCGUGGUGCGGUAUUCAGGACUUUUACUUUGAGGAAAUUAGAGUGUUCACGGCAGGCAAUCGCCUUGAAUACAUUAGCAUGGAAUAAUAAUAUAGGACCUUGGUCCCAUUUUGUUGGUUUCUGGAACUAAGGUAAUGAUUAAUAGGGAUAAUUGGGGGCAUUCGUAUUAACGUGUCAAAGGUGGAAUUCUAGGAUUACGUUACGACGAACUACUGCAAAAGCAUUUGCCAAGGAUGUUUUCAUUGAUCAAAAACGAAAGUUCGGGGAUCGAAAAUGAUUAAAUACCAUCGUAGUCCGAACCAUAAACUAUGCCAACUAGAGAUGGGCGAUCGUUAUUUUUUUGACUUCGUCCGCACCUUAUGAAAAAUCAAAGUCUUUGGGUUCC